AUGUAUUCAUUUCUUAAUCUGUCAGGAUCAGUCCUCCAUAUUCUCACUGUUUCACUGAUCGACAGGUGGGCAGAAAAGUGCCAACAAAGGCAGUGAAGUAGAAGACUAGCAAACAUGGAUGUAAACCUUUCUUUAAUACAGUCUAUGAUGUAAACAAUGCAGGUUUCAAAACUUUCAAAAGAAUUGGCUUUGUUUGAUGAAGAAGGACGUGCAUUCAACAUGUUUGUUAGACCUUAAUGAUUAACACAGUGUGUUUUGGUGAGAAACGCAGAGCAUAAGCAUGAAUUUUGUUUGUUUACAAGAAAACUCCAAGUCCGAAGUGACAACUUCAUGGGCAAUCUCAGAACAUUUUGCACUGGUGUGUACGGUUUCGGGUUGAAUGACAUGUUUGGUCGAAACUGUGUACAACGUUGCGCAACGUCCUUCCCCGGUUUGGUGGCUGUGUCACAGGUGUUACUCAAUGAGCAGCAAUAUGUAUAUAGAUACUCCUGUUUCAAAAAAGCGGGUAAGUGCACUGCGCUUGCGCAGCCUACACAACAGGGCGUUCAUAGCAACAAAGCAAUCCUAACCCCUUGCCACGUUUUGUCGGGGCUGAACUCGGCUAAAACUAGAAGAUAUUUAAUUUUAUAGUAGCCAUACAGACAGGCAGCCAUUCCUUACAUUUAAAAUGGAACCAGAUAAUGUUUGGCAUUUCAUCUAAAAAAUCUAUUAUUAAAGUAACUGAUUUAUUUUCUUAAUUAUUUUUUGCUUCAGCAUUUUAAAAAGGUUGAUUUCGGCAUUGAGACAGAAUUGCUAUGCUAAUUUUCUGUAGCAUUUUCUUUUGUUCAGAUUCAGAUAGACUUAAGGAAAAACUCUCCCCCAAAAUCCCCUUUCAAUGGGGGAAAAAUGUAAGAAACCUCAAGAAGAGCAACAGAGAAUCGGGAUGAGUUCCCUCACCCAGGACGGACAGGAAAUAGAUGUCAUGUGUAGGCCGACAGGAUCAUGGUAAAAUUACAGUUAGCCUAUGACAAUCAGGAUGACAAAAGAUAAACUCUUAAUAUAUGAAGGAUAUGGAUCUGGGGGGACGUCCAGCAACUUUCAGAUGCUACCAAACAGGCUAUCUGCCUCGAAGCUGCAGUUUGAUGUACCUCCACAAGAUGGCAGCAGAGAUCACAACAUAACUUCAUUCAAAUGAAUUCCAGGGUUUUGAAAUAAAUCAGGUCAAAGAGUCAUUUAAACAGAUGAGGCUGUUUCCAUUGCAUCAGUUGAGCGCUCGCCUGUGCCAAAGAGUUCCAGGAAGAAGCUAAAUACUUAACAUUACCUUAGAGAGGACACUCAACCAGGUACUUUACUGCUAAAUCUCAGAUCUGCUUCUUCACUUCCUUGUGUUGCUUAUGAGGGAAAAACAGGGCAGGGUGACGCUCACCUUUCACCUUUUUCCUGUAUGGUCCACGUUGAAGGGCAAAAACAACCCACAUAGUUUUCACCUAAAUAGUUUGAAUUCCUCAAUGAUAUAUUGUAAUAAAUGUGACUGUAGCAUUACUGUUUUUUGAUUUUAUCUUCUACCUUCUCUGGCACUUCAUUUUAUCUUUUACCUUCAAACAUUAGAAACAUCCCCUGAAAUACCAGCAAAGACUCUCCUCUGUUAUUUUUAUUUUAUCAAAUGAGGUUCCGGAGGAUCAAGGAAAUAUCAGAUGACACACCGGGUUUCUGUGACAUCCAUCUACGAGGGAGAACACGUCAUGAGGAUGUUUGUGAACUGUCUGUUAUUUAAAGGUUUACGUGGUUGGGAACUUUAAUGAUCCUGGAUAAAAAGCAAGGAUAGAGUUUACACUGAAAAUAUGAUAAUUCAGUCUCUUGCUGUAUGGCUAUCUCAAGCAGCCAAAUAACUUAGCUUAGCUAGGCACAAAGACUGGGAACAGGGGGAAACUGUUCUGAAAACAUCAUAUCACAACUGUUUAAAUAAAAUCAGCUUUAAAUUAAUCAAACCACUUUAUAAUUUAUCAGUCAAUUUUUCAUUUCACAUCCUAUUUUUCAGUUGCCAUGCAUUUACAACCUCCAUUUUGAUCAAUUAAAUUUUGUUACUUCUAUCCCUCAUA